UAAAGAGUUGCAAAACUCCCAAACCAUUUGUUUAUCUACCUGUUUCGUUGCUUCGGCAGGCGGCUCCUCGCGGCCUUUGCUACCUGUAGUGCCUGCCGGAGUAUUUAAAACUGUUGUUAUUUUUGUUCUGUGUGAGUAAACUUUUAAUAGUUAAAACUUUCAACAACGGAUCUCUUGGUUCUGGCAUCGAUGAAGAACGCAGCGAAAUGCGAUAAGUAAUGUGAAUUGCAGAAUUCAGUGAAUCAUCGAAUCUUUGAACGCACAUUGCGCCCAUUAGUAUUCUAGUGGGCAUGCCUGUUCGAGCGUCAUUUCAACCCUCAAGCUCUGUUGCUUGGUGUUGGGGCUUAUGCGGAUUCGGCUGCAGGCCCUGAUUAACAGUGGCGGGCUCGCUAUAAAUCCGAGUGUAGUAACCUUCCUUACUUGUGAAGGUCGGCGCCACCCGGCCAUUCCCCCACUUCUGAAUGUAGACCUCGGAUCAGGUAGGAAUACCCGCUG
rnacentral:rRNA from 1 species